AGACUGUCGCAUUUGUCUGCCACAUACAUCAAGGGUGUCUUAAUUCUAAAAUGGACCAUUAUUCAUUGUGAGGUGUAAAUUGUUGUAAUUUCUUUACUUUUGAAUUUCUUUACUUGUGGCCUACAAAAUGCGACCUCCUUGAGGAAGCAGCCCUCGAAACAGUCAGCGGAUUUAUUUUACAUUUAGAAUUACUGAAUUAGUUUAUUAGAUUAAAUAAACUAUUAAUUAAUAUUGAGUGCAAGAUGAAGAAUAUGUGAAGCUGCGGGUAGAUUCGAUGUGCGCCUGUAGUAAGGUUGCCAACUGCCCUAAUUAUACAGAUAUACGUUUGGGGUAAGAUCUUCCACUGCAUAUUACAUGAGACUCGGUUUUAUUCCCCCUUGUCACCCCCCGCAGUGGCAUCGUCUCAGAUACUACGAGUAUGUGUGAACUGAGGGUCAUAAGCUGUUGUUACGUUACCUGUAAUGCAUGACAUGUUAAUUGAAAUUAACUGUCGAAAAGAACCAGUUUUCGAAAAAAGAACCUGACUUCCCAUCACUAGUGAAAAGUUGGCUUUCCUCAUUAUUAUGUUCCCUUGUAUAUAACUGGAACGGUUACUCCAUGCACCUUUAAACUACAGUCUGUUCAGUUAAAUAUUUGGCUGCAGUUUGUGUUUACUUACUGUUUGUUCAGGGCCUUUCUGCACAAGGUGAAAGUGCUGCUCGGGCAUUAGUGCAGAUCAUCGCCAGGGAUCUGACACCAGGGCCAAGCCGCUCCACUAAUUACUAUUAUAUAUAAUGCUCAUUACUGUAGUAACAUCCAAAAUAAAACUAAAACGUUAUUUGUAAUUUAACUAGUGUUUCCCAGUUUUCAACCUCUCUGGUGUUUUCUGAACCCAUCCGUCCGUCUGUGUUAUUAAUUAUUUUUUUUAAGGUAAUUAAAUGACCACUUGGUCAUGUAGCAUGUUACAUUUUAAAAUAUUGUUGGAAUAUUGGCUAUCUGCUAAAAAUAAAAAAAUCUAAAGUACUGUGCUGUAUUUACCAAUUAGACUAAUAUUUCAUUAUGAACAAGGUUUAUUGCAUUGAUCAAAAUGUUCUGUGUUUGUUAUUAUGCAUUUUAGGACAGUGAGACAGCAAAUGACAGACUAAUCCACUUUCUGAAGCUUGGAUUACCCCAGGAAAACAUCAGUAACAUUUUAGGUGUCACUCAUACAACUAUCGUUCGUUGGAUGAGAGAAUGUGUUUGGCCAGAGACAGAAUCCAAUAAUUAACCCUGAGAUGGAAUAUUCAGACUCAAUGGCAGUUGAACAAGAUGGUGGAGAUGCUCACCAUGUUCACUUUGCAGUCAACGUGCCUGUAAUUCACAGGCCACAACUCACAAAUGAGCAAAUUGACCCACUGCAAGUGUCUGAUUCAUUUGGAGUAGAUGUAUACCUCAAGACUCUCACAUAUGUACAGACUUUGAUUGAAUAAAGGGAUAUUUGAAGGUUUAUUUCUGCUGCUCUAAUUUUGACAGCAAGGUUGUAAAUGUGUAUAUAUAGUUGUAUCUUAAGUAAAACUUGUGGAAACAACCUUUUAAGACAUGUAAAAUAAUUAAAUUUAUUUUAAAAUGUUA